rnacentral:rRNA from 1 species
UUUUGUUUGGAGAGUUUGAUCCUGGCUCAGGACGAACGCUGGCGGCGUGCUUAACACAUGCAAGUCGAACGGUGAAGCGCCUUCCUUUUUGGUGGGUGUGGAUGAGUGGCGAACGGGUGAGUAACACGUGAGUAACCUGCCCCCUUCUUCUGGAUAACCGCAUGAAAGUGUGGCUAAUACGGGAUAUUCUGGGUCUGUCGCAUGAUGGGUCUGGGAAAGAUUGCGCCUUUUGGGUGUUUUUGGUGGGGGAUGGGCUCGCGGCCUAUCAGCUUGUUGGUGGGGUGAUGGCCUACCAAGGCGGUGACGGGUAGCCGGCCUGAGAGGGUGGACGGUCACACUGGGACUGAGACACGGCCCAGACUCCUACGGGAGGCAGCAGUGGGGAAUAUUGCACAAUGGGCGCAAGCCUGAUGCAGCGACGCCGCGUGAGGGAUGGAGGCCUUCGGGUUGUGAACCUCUUUCGCCAGUGAAGCAGGCCUGCCCCUUGGUGGGUGGGUUGACGGUAGCUGGAUAAGAAGCGCCGGCUAACUACGUGCCAGCAGCCGCGGUAAUACGUAGGGCGCGAGCGUUGUCCGGAAUUAUUGGGCGUAAAGAGCUCGUAGGCGGCUGGUCGCGUCUGUCGUGAAAUCCUCUGGCUUAACUGGGGGCUUGCGGUGGGUACGGGCCGGCUUGAGUGCGGUAGGGGAGGCUGGAACUCCUGGUGUAGCGGUGGAAUGCGCAGAUAUCAGGAAGAACACCGGUGGCGAAGGCGGGUCUCUGGGCCGUUACUGACGCUGAGGAGCGAAAGCGUGGGGAGCGAACAGGAUUAGAUACCCUGGUAGUCCACGCCGUAAACGUUGGGCACUAGGUGUGGGGGGCCUUUUCCGGGUUUUCCGCGCCGUAGCUAACGCAUUAAGUGCCCCGCCUGGGGAGUACGGCCGCAAGGCUAAAACUCAAAGGAAUUGACGGGGGCCCGCACAAGCGGCGGAGCAUGCGGAUUAAUUCGAUGCAACGCGAAGAACCUUACCAAGGCUUGACAUGUGCCGGUCGGCUCCGGAGACGGGGUUUCCUCCUUGUGGGGCCGGUUCACAGGUGGUGCAUGGUUGUCGUCAGCUCGUGUCGUGAGAUGUUGGGUUAAGUCCCGCAACGAGCGCAACCCUUGUCUCGUGUUGCCAGCACGUUGUGGUGGGGACUCGCGGGAGACUGCCGGGGUCAACUCGGAGGAAGGUGGGGAUGACGUCAAAUCAUCAUGCCCCUUAUGUCUUGGGCUUCACGCAUGCUACAAUGGCCGGUACAGAGGGCUGCGAUACUGUGAGGUGGAGCGAAUCCCUUAAAGCCGGUCUCAGUUCGGAUCGGUGUCUGCAACUCGACACCGUGAAGUUGGAGUCGCUAGUAAUCGCAGAUCAGCAACGCUGCGGUGAAUACGUUCUCGGGCCUUGUACACACCGCCCGUCACGUCAUGAAAGUCGGCAACACCCGAAGCCCGUGGCCUUACGGGGAGCGGUCGAAGGUGGGGCUGGUGAUUGGGACGAAGUCGUAACAAGGUAGCCGUACCGGAAGGUGCGGCUGGAUCACCUCCUUUCUAAGGA